CUAAGUCCGCCCGUUCGGAGAGCGCCGCUUCCGCCCCGGUGGGAAGGACCUCCCCUCCCCCUAUAGAGAAACACUCUCCUCUGGCCCGGUGGGGUCCGGUUUGUGAUUCAGGAAUUGGAUGAGUCUCUGUGGCUUGUUUUGCCCUGAAGAGCAGAAGGCUUCGGUCCCAGCUGGUGUUGCCAAAGCAGCAUACUAAUUCCAUGCCAUGGUCCUGGGUCAAGAUCUGCACAAUCUGAUUGGCCAUAUCACCUCGGAUGGCAAGGGAACGGAAGUGGUCAAAGUCAUGGAGGCCCAGCUUCCGGAGACGCCUUGCAGCUGCCCGGUAUCUCAGACCUCAGGGAGAAAGAAAGGAUUCCAAGGGCAUAGCCAGCAUUCUUUACCAGGAAGGUGAAGAAAGUGUGGCUGGAAACAACCCAGAUGUCCAACAAUAGUAGCAUGGAUGAAGAAAUGUGGUAUAUUCAUUAAGAUGGAAUACUAAAUAGCCGUUAAAAAUGAAGGAAUUCAGCUCAGUGCAUCAACAUGGAUGACUCUUACAAAUAUACAAUGUUCAGCAAAAAAGCAAGACACACGCAAAAAAUACAUGGCAAGCUUCCAUUUAUAUGAAUUUCAAAAAUGGAUAAGAUUAAAUUACAUUGUUUAGGGAUACAAAAAUAGUGAGCUAUAAAGAAAAUCAAGGAAAUAAGCAUAAGUCAGGCUAGUUGUUCCCUCUGGGUGGAGGGGGGCGGUUUAGGAACAGAGAAAGUUAAGGGACUUUUGGGGUUCUGACAAUGUUUUAUUCUUGAUCUGGACAAUGGCCAUAAAGGUGUCUGCUUUAUAAUAGUUCAUAAAGUGUAAAUUUAUGUCUUAUGCACUUUUCUGUAUGUGUGGCAUAGUUCACAAAAAAUUCUUUUAAAAAGUCAUGCUGUUGUUGUAGAUUAAGGACCAUAUUUAGAGUAGGAAGGUCCUAUACUACGCUGCUUAAUUUUCUCCCCAUUUCUAUACUUAUUUCUUUGCUGACUCCCUCUUCCUGUCUGAUCUUGGGUGUGCCAGUUUCACUAGUCAUUUGUCACUUCAUCCUUCCUCGACCACAUCUCUUCACCUUCUCCAACCUCAAUUCCCCAAACCCAGAAUACCCUGGAAGCUUGAAAAGUAAAAUAUAGACUCAAGGGCUCAA